ACAAAUCCUUAUAUGAUAUUGAAUAACCGAAAAUUACACGUUAUUCCAAAAUGCAGCGAAAAAAAAUAAAACUAUAAAAUAAUUUUCUUAACAACCUUAUGUGACUCAAAAUUAUAAACUGAAUGAAGUCUAUAUACCCUACUCCAAAUUUUAUUUUUAUGAUCACCUUAUGUGUGUUUAGAACAAUAAUGUAAAAAUUAUCCCGUAAAAAAUAAUCUAAACACACUACUUUAUAAUUAUAAAUAAAUAAACGAGUACAAUGAAAAUCAUAUACGACAAAUACCAAAUGUUAUAUAUAAUUUUAAUAUAUAAACUUCUUCAAGAAUGAGUCAUACUUAUAAAGAAAAUUAUAAAUCAAAAUUAUAUAUAUAUAUAUAUUCUUUAUCUUUAUUCAUUAAAUAAAUAAAUAAAAUUUUUUU
rnacentral:lncRNA from 1 species